AUUCCAUUUAAUAACAGUGUUUUCAUUCUACCAGUAUGGACUGUCAGUAGGUUGGUAUAGUCACCAUUCCAUUUAAUAACAGUGUUUUCAUUCUACCAGUAUGGACUGUCAGUAGGUUGGUAUAGUCACCAUUCCAUUUAAUAACAGUGUUUUCAUUCUACCAGUAUGGACUGUCAGUAGGUUGGUAUAGUCACCAUUCCAUUUAAUAACAGUGUCUUCAUUCUACCAGUAUGGACUGUCAGUAGGUUGGUAUAGUCACCAUUCCAUUUAAUAACAGUGUUUUCAUUCUACCAGUAUGGACUGUCAGUAGGUUGGUAUAGUCACCAUUCCAUUUAAUAACAGUGUUUUCAUUCUACCAGUAUGGACUGUCAGUAGGUUGGUAUAGUCACCAUUCCAUUUAAUAACAGUGUCUUCAUUCUACCAGUAUGGACUGUCAGUAGGUUGGUAUAGUCACCAUUCCAUUUAAUAACAGUGUCUUCAUUCUACCAGUAUGGACUGUCAGUAGGUUGGUAUAGUCACCAUUCCAUUUAAUAACAGUGUCUUCAUUCUACCAGUAUGGACUGUCAGUAGGUUGGUAUAGUCACCAUUCCAUUUAAUAACAGUGUCUUCAUUCUACCAGUAUGGACUGUCAGUAGGUUGGUAUAGUCACCAUUCCAUUUAAUAACAGUGUCUUCAUUCUACCAGUAUGGACUGUCAGUAGGUUGGUAUAGUCACCAUUCCAUUUAAUAACAGUGUUUUCAUUCUACCAGUAUGGACUGUCAGUAGGUUGGUAUAGUCACCAUUCCAUUUAAUAACAGUGUCUUCAUUCUACCAGUAUGGACUGUCAGUAGGUUGGUAUAGUCACCAUUCCAUUUAAUAACAGUGUCUUCAUUCUACCAGUAUGGACUGUCAGUAGGUUGGUAUAGUCACCAUUCCAUUUAAUAACAGUGUUUUCAUUCUACCAGUAUGGACUGUCAGUAGGUUGGUAUAGUCACCAUUCCAUUUAAUAACAGUGUUUUCAUUCUACCAGUAUGGACUGUCAGUAGGUUGGUAUAGUCACCAUUCCAUUUAAUAACAGUGUCUUCAUUCUACCAGUAUGGACUGUCAGUAGGUUGGUAUAGUCACCAUUCCAUUUAAUAACAGUGUCUUCAUUCUACCAGUAUGGACUGUCAGUAGGUUGGUAUAGUCACCAUUCCAUUUAAUAACAGUGUUUUCAUUCUACCAGUAUGGACUGUCAGUAGGUUGGUAUAGUCACCAUUCCAUUUAAUAACAGUGUCUUCAUUCUACCAGUAUGGACUGUCAGUAGGUUGGUAUAGUCACCAUUCCAUUUAAUAACAGUGUUUUCAUUCUACCAGUAUGGACUGUCAGUAGGUUGGUAUAGUCACCAUUCCAUUUAAUAACAGUGUCUUCAUUCUACCAGUAUGGACUGUCAGUAGGUUGGUAUAGUCACCAUUCCAUUUAAUAACAGUGUUUUCAUUCUACCAGUAUGGACUGUCAGUAGGUUGGUAUAGUCACCAUUCCAUUUAAUAACAGUGUCUUCAUUCU